rnacentral:rRNA from 1 species
GACGUAGGGGACGAGCGUUUGUCCGGAUUCAUUGGGCGUAAAGCGCGCGUAGGCGGCCACGCAAGUCGGGUGUGAAAUCCCGGAGCUCAACUCCGGAACUGCACUCGAAACUGCGCGGCUUGAGGUAGGUAGGGGAGAUCGGAAUUCCUGGUGUAGCGGUGGAAUGCGCAGAUAUCAGGAGGAACACCGGUGGCGAAGGCGGAUCUCUGGGCCUUACCUGACGCUGAGACGCGAAAGCUAGGGGAGCGAACAGG